GAUGAACGCUGGCGGCGUGCCUAAUACAUGCAAGUCGAGCGAACAGACGAGGAGCUUGCUCCUCUGACGUUAUCGGCGGACGGGUGAGUAACACGUGGAUAACCUACCUAUAAGACUGGGAUAACUUCGGGAAACCGGAGCUAAUACCGGAUAAUAUAUUGAACCGCAUGGUUCAAUAGUGAAAGACGGUUUUGCUGUGACUUAUAGAUUGAUCCGCGCCGCAUUAGCUAGUUGGUAAGGUAACGGCUUACCAAGGCAACGAUGCGUAGCCGACCCGAGAGGGUGAUCGGACACCUGGGAACUGAGCCACGGUCCAGACUCCUACGGGAGGCAGCAGUAGGGAAUCUUACGCAAUGGGCGAAAGCCUGACGGAGCAACGCCGCGUGAGUGAUGAAGGUCUUCGGAUCGUAAAACUCUGUUAUUAGGGAAGAACAAAUGUGUAAGUAACUAUGCACGUCUUGACGGUACCUAAUCAGAAAGCCCCGGCUAACUACGUG
rnacentral:rRNA from 1 species